ensembl:lncRNA
AGAGACCCCUGGACAUAUCGGGCACCAGACAGAGAAGGUGCCCUCAGCAUCAUCUGUCUCUGACUCGGCUCGGAUCAAGAGCCUCUCUGAGAGCGGUUCUGUGGCCUCAAACAGCUUUGAUCCUCUCCACUUUUCGGUUUGUCCUUCAGCAUUCCGAGUGCUUUACAGAAAUUAUUAACAAUUCCAUAAGGUAUUUUGACAAAGUUGUGUUUACAGAACCAUUGGUAUCCCAAGGCACUCCUGAUCAAAGAGCAAUAAGAUAUUUCAAAAUUGCUCCUGUGUUUGUGUUGCCAUGUGAACUUUUCCCUGAGAGGAAGUAUUAACGUGGAGACUCUGGCCCCAGAUUGGUAUCUUCUGUGAAAAUGGAUAUGGAUGAAUGACGCUCAAAAUGGCCUUCUCUUCAAAUAUUAUGUGCUGGGGAAGUGGCCGUUUAGAGUAAUAACACUAAGGAAGCAUUACAUAUCAUGGGUUGUUGGAAUUAACCAGAACUUCUCUGAAAGACAUAAAAGAAACUGUGAAUGAAAAGUCACAGUAGUCAUCUGGAUAGAUGAAGCUCUUCCAUCAGAGGAAAUCAAGUGCUGGACAAAAUGCUGGAGAAGAAGAUGCAUCCAACGGUCUAGUAACAUCACUUCAACUAAGUAAAUAGAACUUGGAGUAAAGAGAAGAGGAAUUCCCUAAAGUUUAUUUAUCUCAGAGCCACAGAAGGAUUGAAAUAUUCUUUGAACUCUGGUUUACGUAAGAUGAAC